GGACGCAGGAGGGGAACUUAAGGCACGGUGGUCAGCUGCCUUCCUGGGCUCUGCACUGGCUUACUUAGCACAAGCACAGCUGUGGGCAAUGGUCCCACCUGAGAACUUAGACACCUGGGUCUGGUGAUGUCACCUCCCUGGACAGGGGUUGUGUAACCCUGCCCAGAGCUCUGGGGGGCCAUGGUGUGGAAAACAAGUAGCUGGGGCAAGAUCCAGGCAGACCUCGGCUUCCACCUGCUUACCAAACAGGGCUGUGCUGUGGCCCUGCAGCGUCGGUCGCACAGCCCAGCUAGGAGGGUCUGGCCGCACGGAUCUCUCUCCCAACUGUCCGCCCGCCCACUGCCCCGAACCAACACACGCUGCUUCCAGGUGGGGAAACUUGCCCGGACUGUGUCUCUUGCGCAGAGCCUCUGGUUGCAGCCCAUCUGGUGUGAACCCUCUGGACACAG